CCCUUAGAUGUUCUGGGCCGCACGCGCGCUACACUGAUGCAUUCAACGAGUCUAAAACCUGCUCUGAUAGGGGUGGGUAAUCUUUUGAAUGUGCAUCGUGAUUGGGAUAGAUGAUUGCAAUUUUUCAUCUUCAACGAGGAAUGCCUAGUAAACGCAAGUCAUCAGCUUGCAUUGAUUACGUCCCUGGCCUUUGUACACACCGCCCGUCGCUCCUACCGAUUGAAUGAUCCGAUGAAUAUCAUGGAUUGAGGAUUAUAGCAGGUUCGCCUGUCUUGAUCUUCGAGAAGUGAAGUAAAUCUUAUCAUUUAGAGGAAGGAGAAGUCGUAACA
rnacentral:rRNA from 1 species